rnacentral:tRNA from 1 species
UGGGGGUUGGCCAAGCUGGUAAGGCACCUGAUUCUGAGUCAGGAAAGCGUGGGUUCGAUCCCCACACCCCCAGCCA